UGAAGCUCUUCCUGGAGACAAUGUGGG
rnacentral:piRNA from 1 species